rnacentral:misc_RNA from 1 species
UUUGGAGGAGGACGCCGAAGGUGGGGCUAAUGACUGGGGUGAAGUCGUAACAAGGUAGCCGUACCGGAAGGUGCGGCUGGAUCACCUCCUAACAGGGAGACAACAAAAUGUUAAAUAUUAAUUUUGUCACCUUAGGUCGAUCGGUAUCUCACAUUCUUAAUUCAUUAAGGAUUUUAUUUCCUAAGUUUUUUCUAGGUCACACCCAUUAUUUUUCCUGGGCCAUUAGCUCAGGUGGUUAGAGCGCACCCCUGAUAAGGGUGAGGUCCCUGGUUCAAGUCCAGGAUGGCCCAUAUCUCUAUGUUGGGGGUAUAGCUCAGUUGGUAGAGCGCCUGCUUUGCAAGCAGGAUGUCAGCGGUUCGAGUCCGCUUACCUCCACUGAUUACCACCUCUUCCAUAAUCUAAAUAAGGAAAUUUUUUGAGGUGUGAUCAAAUUCUGAACGAAUCUAGCUUCCUAAUAAAAUUUAUUAAGAUGCUGGACUCAUUGAAUUAAUUUCAUUGUUUUCAGAGAACCUUGACAACUGCAUAGAUUAUUUUUAAAGACAAUAAGCAUCUUUAAUGAUGCAGAUUUAUUAUUUGUGCGAAUGCAUUAAUAACAAUUCUAUUAAGCUGAUGCUUCAAUUUUGAAGUUAUUGGUCAAGCUACAA